rnacentral:rRNA from 1 species
GAUGAACGCUGGCGGCGUGCCUAAUACAUGCAAGUCGAGCGAACGGACGAGAAGCUUGCUUCUCUGAUGUUAGCGGCGGGCGGGUGAGUAACACGUGGAUAACCUCCCUAUAAGACUGGGAUAACUUCGGGAAACCGGAGCUAAUACCGGAUAAUAUUUUGAACCGCAUGGUUCAAAAGUGAAAGGCGGUCUUGCUGUCACUUAUAGAUGGAUCCGCGCUGCAUUAGCUAGUUGGUAAGGUAACGGCUUACCAAGGCAACGAUGCAUAGCCGACCUGAGAGGGUGAUCGGCCACACUGGAACUGAGACACGGUCCAGACUCCUACGGGAGGCAGCAGUAGGGAAUCUUCCGCAAUGGGCGAAAGCCUGACGGAGCAACGCCGCGUGAGUGAUGAAGGUCUUCGGAUCGUAAAACUCUGUUAUUAGGGAAGAACAUAUGUGUAAGUAACUGUGCACAUCCUGACGGUACCCAAUCAGAAAGCCACGGCUAACUACGUG